CUACGUGCCAGCAGCCGCGGUAAUACGGAAGGUCCAGCCGUUAUCCGGAUUUAUUGGGUUUAAAGGGAGCGUAGGCUGGAGAUUAAGUGUGUUGUGAAAUGUAGACGCUCAACGUCUGAAUUGCAGCGCAUACUGGUUUCCUUGAGUACGCACAACGUUGGCGGAAUUCGUCGUGUAGCGGUGAAAUGCUUAGAUAUGACGAAGAACUCCGAUUGCGAAGGCAGCUGACGGGAGCGCAACUGACGCUUAAGCUCGAAGGUGCGGGUAUCAAACAGGAUUAGAUACCCUGGUAGUCCGCMCAGUAAACGAUGGAUGCCCGCUGUUGGUACCUGGUAUCAGCGGCUAAGCGAAAGCAUUAAGCAUCCCACCUGGGGAGUACGCCGGCAACGGUGAAACUCAAAGGAAUUGACGGGGGCCCGCACAAGCGGAGGAACAUGUGGUUUAAUUCGAUGAUACGCGAGGAACCUUACCCGGGCUUGAAUUGCAGAGGAAGGAUUUAGAGAUA
rnacentral:rRNA from 1 species